rnacentral:tRNA from 1 species
UAUAAGGAGGUGUAAUCUUGCACAUAGAAUUUUGGAUUCUAAGGUAAACGUAGUUUCCUUAUAA